rnacentral:lncRNA from 1 species
UUACAGGCAGUCACCGCCUUCCCCAUUGUUUCGGCGUCGGCUUGCACAAUUGAGUGCCUGUCACAGCCAGACCGACUAAUUUCAGGCCUAAUAUAUCUAUUAUACCUUUUCUUGAGUAGUUGCCGAACCGCUUAGGGGUCAUCCAGACGGAGGGGUACCUGCAGGCAGGAAAGCUGUGCUUUGCUUCCGUGGGAGGGGGCGAGCCUGGUUACCGAGCGACUCUUUGUAUAGAGACCAUAAAGGAAUUACCGACGCGGUUGUGUACCCUAUAGAGCCAUGCCCGUGUACCUAGCUAGGUACACGGGUAGGGCAGCAAUGCUGGCUUUUAGCGGGCUCACCCAGGUUGGGUAUCAGCAGCCACUUUGCCAGGUGUCUUCCCUAGAGACCGACAUUCGCCCGCAUAUGCAUGCCCGCAUGUUUCUGUGAUCUGUGGACAGUACGUAGUGGAGUACAGUGAGUAUUAGAACCCUUCUGCAGUGCCACGCCGGUGCUGAUGGAUAGCUAGGUGCCGGCUAGGUACCGGAUGCAGCGCAGGCCCAGCCCGGAUGACCAUUUCUACGGAUCGGUUACGUACGACUGGUCCUGAGCAACCCUCAAGUGUGCGCGCACCGUGCUGUACAUAUACGUGUCGUCGCUGCUGCAGUUGUCACCCACUCAUUGAUUCGGUUCCAUCAGCAGUUUGAUGAUAUUCGUCCCUGGUAAACUGCACCAGUCAUGGAUGUGCAGCAGUGGCCGGAGCCAGGAUAUUUAGGCCAGGGCAACGUUAGAAAUCAUUACCUGGAAUUAGCACAAUAAAC